AUGGCACAGUCACCUCUGCAUCCCCAGGGAAACCAGCCUUCCCUGGAGGCAUGUGCUGUUGAACUCAGCCCUCUGAGACAUUGCUUCUGCUGCCAGUGGUCAGCAAAUGGGUCACCAGCUGCACCUGGGAAUGCCGUUCCCAAACAGGCUGCGAUUUGCUCGCCCAGCGGAGGAGCAUUUCUGGAUGCACGAGCAGCCGAAUCUUGGAUUCCAAGUUGCCACUCGCAGCUGAAGUGCUGGCUGAAGCCAUUCUGAAAAGCAGCACCUUCACCUGAAAGAGAAUGCAGCUGGCCCCCGAGCAAGCCCUCCCUCCAUCGCCUGCUGGCUCCUUCCCCCCCUGGCAGAGGUAGGUUGCCUUUCAGCUGAUGCAGUGCUCUUAAUCUCCGUUCUGGGCUCCACUUCCAGUUCAGGUUUGUUUAUCAGAGUUUCUUCUCCCAUCGUCUGCUCUGGUUGUGUUUGUUUUUAUUUUGUUUGGGUUUGGUUUUGGCUGUGAACAUUUAGUGUUCAACACUGAAUCCUACUGUGUGGCCUGGAUCGUUAUUUGCCGUGCCUCCAAACUGCCUGUUUGUCCUUAAAAUUCUGCUUCUCUGCUAGCCUGGGUGGAGCAGCUGAAGGCAUUACCUCUGCCAGCUGAUCUAAAAUACCUAAAAAAAUGUUGCUGCUGUGGAUUGUUUGAAAAGCUGGCAUCAGCAUUCCUCCCUGCUAGUGCAAUUAGUUUGGGGACUUUCUCUUUUUUAUUUACAAAUGAAAUGACAAUAAUUGUGCAUAUCUAUGCCCAGCAUCAGACAUACACUGCACCACCCGGUUAAGGUUUUGCAAGAUGUAACCCAGGGCAGUUGGGGGGAACGCCUCAUAGCUUUCUAUAGCAAGUGUAAAAAAAUUCUAUGAAGAAAAUCCCUGUAACUGUGAGUACUUGUGACCCUAACUCUCUGUACGUUUCUUUCAUUUUUUACACAAAUAUGCAUGAAAAAUCUAUCUUUAGCCAAGUCUAUAGCCCAUAAAAGACAGUCUUUUAUCAGCUCAUACAGCUUUUUAUACCAGGAAAGCACUCUGGAUACUUUCGAAGCAAGAAACUAAAAAGAGAUUUUGAUAUUUUUCUAUUUUUAUAAUAUUUAGUAGCUCUCUCCAAGAUGUUUGAAAACCAAAUUCCUUCUCUAUUUGCUUGUUAAGCUCGUUCCUUAUCUGACAAGGCGGGGAUAGUCUACUCCUGUUUCUGUUGCUUACCAGCUUCAGGAAGUCUGACGGAGUGUGUUGACUCUGGAGUUACGGGAGUGGAACCAGCUGCAGUAGAUAACAUCUUAUCUCCCGAAGGAGGACAUAAACAGCCUUACUGCAGGGCCUGCUGCAACCUCUGGCUGGGGUGGGUGCUGGGCAGGAACGUUUUGCUCUGCAGGUUGCCUGUUUUAGAGAUUUUGUCACUUCUGUCUGCUCAGUUCCUUAUGCCCAGGUUUUUCAGAGAUGAGACACAAAUUUACACAAUUGCACUGGUAACUUUGCGCUGUUAGCUUUGACAGAAUUGCUAUCCUUUUGGUUCCUCUUGUGUCUAAGACUAAAUCUGAACUUGCUGACACUGAUCGUACCUAAUAACUGGUUUUCCAGGGAUUUAUGUCUAUGUUAAGGGAAUUCAAAAGCAGAGGUGCAUGCGCCUGUGUGACCAGAUUUUCUUGAAGCCCUGUGUUAUGUAUGGGAUUCAAAUAUGGGAGGAUCAAGAGCUCUUCUUACAUUUUACACUCCCCUAUGAGGAGCUGGGCUAAUCUAGAAGGCUGUUGCAUAGUGUCGGUGCUUUUUCCUUGAUCAUUAGUGAGUGCUUUAACUAGUUCCAGCUCUUUAACUUGUUUAAAAUAAGGAACCUCAUUUUGAAAUUAAUAUGUCUCAGUUCAUAUCCAACAAAUGUGGGAUUUUUAUGAUAUUUUUACAUUGGGAGCUUCUAAAAGCUCCCAUAAAAUAAAUUCCCAAUAUUGCGACUACUCUGCA
rnacentral:lncRNA from 1 species